GUGGGUAUAGCUCAGUUGGUUAGAGUGCCUGGUUGUGGCCCAGGAGGUCGUGGGUUCAACUCCCACUACUCACCCCA
rnacentral:tRNA from 1 species